GACGAACGCUGGCGGCGUGCUUAACACAUGCAAGUCGAACGGAAAGGCCCUGCUUUUGUGGGUUGCUCGAGUGGCGAACGGGGGAGUAAAACGUGAGUAACCUGCCCUUGACUUUCGGAUAACUUUAGGAAACUGGGGCUAAUAUCGGGUAGGAGCUCCUGAUGCGUGGGGGUGGUUGGAAAGUUUCGGCGUUUGGGGAUGGACUCGCGGCUUAUCAGCUUGUUGGUGGGGUAGUGGCUUACAAAGGGUUUGACGGGUAGCCGGCAUGAGAGGGUGACCGGCCACAUUGGUACUGAGAUACGGCCCAGACUCGUACGGGAGGCAGCAGUGGGGAAUAUUGCACAAUGGGCGGAAGCCUGAUGCAGCAACGCCGCGAGCGUGAUGACGGCCUUCGGGUUGUAAACCGAUUUCGCCUGUGACGAAGCGUGAGUGACGGUAAUGGGUAAAGAAGCACCGGCUAACUACGUG
rnacentral:rRNA from 1 species